UGUGUUUAUGUAUUCACCUAAUUGUGCUUGCGGGGGUUGAGCUCUGCUCUUUCGGCUCGCCUCUCAACUGUCAAAUUAAUCUAGAGGGGAAACGCCGGCUGCGUCCUCGAUUACUGUCCGGAAGCAGAAGAGCUUCAAGAGAUCCAUAACCUCUAAGAGAGAGAGAGACGUUAAUGGAGAUAUGUAUACAGAUAGAGGUGUAGCAGGUAUGGUAAUGGAGAUAUAUACCCAGGUAGAGGUGUAGCAGGUAUGGUAAUGGAGAUAUAUACCCAGGUAGAGAUGUAGCAGGUAUGGUAAUGGAGAUAUAUACCCAGGUAGAGGUGUAGCAGGUAUGGUAAUGGAGAUAUAUACACAGAUAGCGGUGUAGCAGGUAUGGUAAUGGAGAUAUAUAACCAGAUAGAGGUGUAGCAGGUAUGGUAAUGGAGAUAUAUACCCAGGUAGAGGUGUAGCAGGUAUGGUAAUGGAGAUAUAUACACAUGUAUAGGUGUAGCAGGUAUGGUAAUGGAGAUAUAUACACAGAUAGCGGUGUAGCAGGUAUGGUAAUGGAGAUAUAUACCCAGAUAGAGGUGUAGCAGGUAUGGUAAUGGAGAUAUAUACCCAGGUAGAGGUGUAGCAGGUAUGGUAAUGGAGAUAUAUACAUAGGUAGAGGUGUAGCAGGUAUGGUAAUGGAGAUAUAUACCCAGGUAGAGGUGUAGCAGGUAUGGUAAUGGAGAUAUAUACACAGGAAGAGGUGUAGCAGGUAUGGUAAUGGAGAUAUAUACACAUGUAGAGGUGAGGUUGAGAUUGGGUGAGUGUAAACGUGUAGCUCAGGUGCCGAGCUGAUGACCCUCCCCAGGAUGCAACCCUACAACAAGCUGACUAACUUCUGUGUACCAAUUUAUUUCAUGGUGAACAGAUGCAUUAGGUGAUACGAAACGCGCCCAAACAUUUCUGUCCCGCUUAACAUUUGGAGUCAGAAUUCUGGAUAUGUUUCUUUUAACGUUUGUCUGUUGAUAGGUAAGAGAACGGUGGUAUAUCUUCUUCCACGCGGCCUGGGACUGUCUUUGAUAAUUACUUAUACUUACCAGGGAUACGUCGGGUUCAGUGAAGUCUACCAUCCGACUGUGUUUGUCUGCAGAGUUAUCAAGUCUUUGAACAAGAUUUAUCCAUUGUUAUGGUGUUGUGGAUGCUACUGGGGGACAGUGCCAAGAGUGUCACACUAGUUUGGUUAAUUAGUAAAAUGCUUUUAAAAUUUAAUUUUUAAAUCUCAAUGUAUUUUUUCAUUCUAUGAGCUUCUUAUUAUUUAAAAAAAUUAUUAACGUAAACUGUUUUACAUUAAAUAUUAUAGAAAAAACUUCAAAUAUUAUUUCCAUAUCUACUUGCAGGCAAAUCCAACUGCGGACUCCAUACUACAAGCAGAAGAUUCUCGGGCGAACCUCACCCAUCACCUCGAGUGAAGCUUUCACCAACACUCCAGUAGCGAGGAUCGGCCAACAUAACGACUGCUUCCUCGCCUCAGACACGGAUUUCGGCACGUACGUUAACAAGGCGAUGGAGUACCCAUACCUGAAGAAUGAAACACUGUACCUCUCCAUGGGUGGUGAGACUUGCGCGAACAACCCACCCAGGUUAGUUGAUGACCAGUAACUACUGCGUGUCCCCAGGUCAGUCCUGGUGAUGACCAGUAACUACUGCUGCACUAAACAUGUCCCCAGGUCAGUCAUGGUGAUGACCAGUAACUACUGCUGCACUAAACAUGUCCCCAGGUCAGUCCUGGUGAUGACCAGUAACUACCGCUGCACUAAACAUGUCCCCAGGUCACUCAUGGUGAUGACCAGUAACUACUGCUGCACUAAACAUGUCCCCAGGUCACUCAUGGUGAUGACCAGUAACAACUGCUGCACUAAACAUGUCCCCAGGUCAGUCCUGGUGAUGACCAGUAACUACAGCUGCACUAAACAUGUCCCCAGGUCAGUCCUGGUGAUGACCAGUAACUACUGCUGCACUAAACAUGUCCCCAGGUCAGUCCUGGUGAUGACCUACCUGCUCAUCACAUAACACACACUAACCCUACCUGCUCAUCACAUAACACACGCUGACC